rnacentral:rRNA from 1 species
UACAGAGGUCCCCAAGCGUUGUUCGGAUUUACUGGGCGUAAAGGGUGCGUAGGCGGCCAAAAAGUCUGAUGUGAAAUCUCAGAGCUCAACUCUGAAAUUGCAUUGGAAACUUUUUGACUUGAGGAAUGGAGGGGAGAUUGGAAUUCUCGGUGUAGCAGUGAAAUGCGUAGAUAUCGAGAGGAACACCAGUGGCGAAGGCGAAUCUCUAGACAUAUCCUGACGCUGAGGCACGAAAGCCAGGGGAGCAAAC